CCUACGGGCGGCUGCAGUGAGGAAUAUUGGUCAAUGGCCGAGAGGCUGAACCAGCCAAGUCGCGUGAGGGAAGACGGCCCUACGGGUUGUAAACCUCUUUUGUCGGGGAGCAAAGCGAACCACGUGUGGUUCAUUGAGAGUACCCGAAGUAAAAGCAUCGGCUAACUCCGUGCCAGCAGCCGCGGUAAUACGGAGGAUGCGAGCGUUAUCCGGAUUUAGUGGGUUUAACGGGUGCGCAGGCGGAGGUGCAAGUCAGCGGUCAAAUUGCGGGGCUCAACCCCGUACUGCCGUUGAAACUGCAUCCCUUGAGUGCGCGAGAAGUAGGCGGAAGGCGUGGUGUAGCGGUGAAAUGCAUAGAUAUCACGAAGAACUCCGAUGGCGAAGGCAGCAUACCGGCGCGCAACUGACGCUCAUGCACGAAAGCGUGGGUAUCGAACAGGAUUAGAUACCCGUGUAGUC
rnacentral:rRNA from 1 species